GGAGAGAGGGAGAGAGGGGGAGAGAGAGAGAGAGAGAGAGGGGGAGAGGGAGAGAGAGAGAGAGAGAGAGAGAGAGAGAGGGAGAGAGGGAGACGGGGAGACGGGGAGAGAGAGGAAGAGAGGGAGAGAGGGAGAGAAAGAGAGAGACAGAUAGAGAGAGGGAGAGAGAGAGAGAGAGAGAGAUAUUGACAAAUCAAUGCCACACAAAACUGUUUUCUGCAGAACAUUCAGUGCUGUGGGAUGAUGUGCUGAAGUAGUCAUCUGCCGUAAUCAAACAAUCAAUGAUUGGUUGUGUUAUAACACUUACAUACAACCACCACAAAUGUUACACAUAAUUUUAACAGAUGAUUGGCCAAACAUACAGUAAUACAUGAUAUGGGUAAUAAAUGAUAUGGGUAAUAACAUGAUAUGGGUAUUAAAUGAUAUGGGUCAUAACAUGAUAUGGGUAUUAACAUGAUAUGGGUAUUAAAUGAUAUGGGUCAUAAAUGAUAUGGGUAAUACAUGAUAUGGGUAUUAAUUAACAUGAUAUGGGUCAUAACAUGAUAUGGGUAAUACAUGAUAUGGGUAUUAACAUGAUAUGGGUAUUAAAUGAUAUGGAUCAUAAAUUAUAUGGGUAAUAAAUGAUAUGGGUAUUAAUUAACAUGAUAUGGGUAAUAACAUGAUAUGGGUAAUAAAUGAUAUGGGUAUUAACAUGAUAUGGGUAUUAACAUGAUAUGGGUCAUAAAUGAUAUGGGUAUUAAUUAACAUGAUAUGGGUAUUAACAUGAUAUGGGUCAUAAAUGAUAUGGGUAAUAACAUGAUAUGGGUCAUAAAUGAUAUGGGUAUUAAUUAACAUGAUAUGGGUAAUAACAUGAUAUGGGUAAUAAAUGAUAUGGGUAUUAACAUGAUAUGGGUAUUAACAUGAUAUGGGUCAUAAAUGAUAUGGGUAUUAAUUAACAUGAUAUGGGUAUUAACAUGAUAUGGGUCAUAAAUGAUAUGGGUAAUAACAUGAUAUGGGUCAUAAAUGAUAUGGGUAUUAAUUAACAUGAUAUGGGUCAUAACAUGAUAUGGGUAUUAAAUGAUAUGGUCAAAACAUGAUAUGGGUAUUAAAUGAUAUGGGUCAUAACAUGAUAUGGGUCAUAACAUGAUAUGGGUAUUAACAUGAUAUGGGUAUUAAAUGAUAUGGGUCAUAACAUGAUAUGGGUAAUAAAUGAUAUGGGUAUUAAUUAACAUGAUAUGGGUCAUAAAUGAUAUGGGUCAUAAAUGAUAUGGGUAAUAACAUGAUAUGGGUAAUAAAUGAUAUGGGUAAUAAAUGAUAUGGGUAAUAACAUUAUAUGGGUAUUAACAUGAUAAUAAUGCAUACUGCAAUAUCAACAGUUAAAUAAUUAUGUGAAUGAACAUAGGUAAUGUCCCAAAUGGUGCCCUAUUGUCAAGUAGUGCACUACAAAGGGAAUAGGAUGCCAUUUGAGACGUAACCAUGGUGUUGUGGGAUUGAACUUGUAUGUACAUCACAAAUAUAUAACUGAGGCAUUUUGGGGUGUUUUGGCACACAGAAGGCAAGGCAUAAAAUAAAACAGACACUUGUAUAAAAUAUUACAAUUUAACUGUAACAUAUUCAAAUGAUGAAUUAGAAGAAAUCAGUUCUGUUAUAGUCAUAAUCACAAGGCUACAUACAGCAGCAUCCAACGGGACUGAGUGAGUAGGUAGGUGGGCACCAACGUAGCUAUAGGCUAUCUACUCUACAGCGGUCGUAUUCUAUUGUAGAAUAUCUAUUCACUCGUUAUCUAUGUCAGAUGAAUAUUACAAUCAUUCACUGAUGGACUUCCAUUUUUUACACUUUUGGUGAAAAUACUUUGGACUAUUUGUAUGGAUUUGUAAAAGCAUGAGACAGUACUGCAUGGAAUGGCACUUGUAGAAAGGUGUUGAGCUUUUUUGUCUAAAUAAUAUAAUAACAUAGCGGCUGCAUUUACACAGGCAGCCAAAUUCUGAUCAUUUUUCACUAAUACUUUUUUUUUUUGACCAGCUCUGAAGAAAAAAAAUGUGAUGUGAUUGGUCAAAAGAUCAGAAUUUUCCGCCUGCGUAAACGCAGCCAGUGUGCAUCCAAGAUUUAAAAAAACAUAUUCCCUAGUGGACUACUUUUGUCUAGGACCCAUUGGUGCACCAUAAAGUACAGAUCAGUGUUUCCCAACUCCAGAUGUCGAGUACUCCCAACAGCUCAAUGAGUUGAAUCAACUGAGUUUUUCUGGGGCUACAACAAUAAUGUGGGCUUUUGAGGUUACUGGAGGACUGGAGUUGGGCUUUUGGGGGUACUGGAGGACCAGAGUUGGGCUGUUGGGGGUACUGGAGGACUGGAGUUGGGCUGUUGGGGGUACUGGAGGACUGGAGUUGGGCUGUUGGGGGGUACUGGAGGACUGGAGUUGGGCUGUUGGGGGUAGGGAGGACUGGAGUUGGGCUGAUUGGGCUGGGGGUACUGGAGGUCUGGAGUUGGGCUGUUGGGGGUACUGGAGGACUGGAGUAGGGCUGUUGGGGGUACUGGAGGACUGGAGUUGGGCUGUUGAGGGUACUGGAGGACUGGAGGGCUGUGGGGGGGCUGUUGGGGGUACUGGAGGACUGGAGUUGGGCUGUUGGGGGACUGGAGUAGGGCUGGCUGGGGUACUGGAGGACUGGAGUUGGGCUGUUGGGAGGACUGGAGUAGGGCUGUUGAGGGUACUGGAGGACCAGAGUUGAGCUGUUGGGGGUACUGGAGGACUGGAGUUGGGCUGUUGGGGGGACUGGAGUAGGGAAACACUGGUAUAGGGGAUAGGGUGUCAGUUCAGACACAUUAUAUUACUAGGCUGGAUCUUCCACAUGCAGAUAACUUAGUUUGAGGAGAGAGUGUGUUCAUGGACUAAUUGCACUUGAAAAUAUAUAAAUUACAACACUACUCAUUCAGUUGUGGGCAGAAGACCAUAACACGCUAUAGGCCCGCAUCCUAAAGUUGUUCGUGCAAAUCUUCCAUUGAAAUGAAUGAAUGAUGAACGCAAGUGGAGUUGAGAUUGGGGUCCUGACUGUGUUUAAUACUUUGAUAGAUGUCAUAUUAUGGCACUGUGAUGUCAUAAUGCAGCCGAGCUAUAACUGAACUAUUCAAAUUAUUCAAGACAAGCUGGAAGCAAAGUGCUACCAUACGUUGAUCAUUUUGGCGUUGUUGUUGUCAUGGAAACAUAAAGCGGAAAAACAAGGCAGCAGAUUUCCCUUGACUGAUUCCAAACUCUCUAGUCGUUCAACAACGAUGACAAGUUGAAAACACGAAGAAAAAAAUAACUAAAGAGACUCAAAUAGAUUCAAAUAAUGACACAAUCAAUCAUGUUUUAUGCCAUAGUUCGAUAGUUGUUCACUCGUUUCCCUAUUCCUGAGGUAGCCCAGUUUUGAAUUGAUUUGAAUAAACGCUGCAUAGCUGGCCGUCAAAAACAACUCUUCCCUUUAACCUCUCAUCACGGUCAUAUAAAAAUACAUUAACAAACAAUAUUUUAUUCCAGAAGUACAAACAAACGCUUUUUAGAAAAUGACAUUUCUUUUAGAUGUCUCAUAAAAUACUCCUCCACUCCGGUAGAUGUUUCCCCUUGAGUAGAACUGUUACUUCUACUAGUUCAACGUUGGCAAACCCCGAAUGGGGAAAUGAUCUAGCCAGGGUAAACAAUGGUGGGAGGUGGUGGGGAUCCUCAGACCUCGGUGCCGUCGUUGUGGAGGUUGUUGUGGAGCUUGACCUCCAGGUUGACCUGCUUGACUUUCGCCCCUCCGUUGACCUUUGCGCCUCUGUUGACCUUGGAGUUGACGUUGUCGUAGUUCCGGUUGAUGUUGAUGUUCCUGACGGUGCAAUGUUUAGAGCUAAAGUUCUUCUCCAGGGUCCUCUCCAAACACACCUCUACUUUGGUGUUCAGAGGGUACUCCUCCGCCAUCUGGGGUGGCUUCUUACCAGCCGAUCGUCGGCACUUCCUGAAGAGUAAACAUGAAGCGAGCAGGACGAGGACCAAUAGGGUUAGUGCGGCCACGCCCCCGCCCACCGAACCGCCCAUCUGGGGGUUAAAGGUUGAGGCAGCGGGGACCUCGAGGUGGAGAGUCUUCAUGUUGGUUCCGUUCUUCGUCUGGUCACCCUCAUUGUCAUAUAUCAGAGACUGGUCUAGAGUGAGACGUCCGCUGUGGUCAACAAGGUCCCGGCGAGCACGGCUGUGGCCGAUGCUUUGGCUCAGCUGAUUGACCAGAUCCCGGCGAGUCCGCCCCCCGCCACUGCUGUGGGUGAGCUGAUAGGUCAGAGAACGCUGAAUCCUGGGGCCGGAUAUGGACUCUGGACCAAUCACGUAGAUCACCUGAAGGUACCACUGAUGCCCCGCCUCCACCUGUCAAUCAAAAGAGAGAGAG
ensembl:lncRNA